rnacentral:rRNA from 1 species
UACGUAGGGCGCAAGCGUUGUCCGGAAUUAUUGGGCGUAAAGCGCACGUAGGCGGAUGUGUCAGUCAGGGGUGAAAUCCCGGAGCUCAACUCCGGAACUGCCUCUGAUACAGCACGUCUUGAGUUCGAGAGAGGUGGGUGGAAUUCCUAGUGUAGAGGUGAAAUUCGUAGAUAUCAGGAGGAACACCUAUAGCGAAGGCAGCUUGCUGGGACGUUACUGACGCUAAGGCGCGAAAGCGUGGGGAGCGAACAGG